rnacentral:tRNA from 2 species
GUCUUUUUAGUAUAAGGAAUAUGAGUGACUUCCAAUCACUUGACCCUGGUUGAAUCCAGGAAAAGACA